rnacentral:snoRNA from 1 species
AAACUGUGGUGAGGGCAUUUUCUUAGUAAAUCUUUGAAUCUUUCAUACAAGCUUUCCUGAUCAUGAUGGACAAAGGUCAUAAUCUCAUUUCGCAAUUUU